rnacentral:rRNA from 1 species
UACGUAGGGGGCAAGCGUUGUCCGGAUUUAUUGGGCGUAAAGAGCGUGUAGGCGGCUGGGUAGGUCCGUUGUGAAAACUCGAGGCUCAACCUCGAGACGCCGAUGGAAACCCUCCAGCUAGAGUCCGGAAGAGGAGAGUGGAAUUCCUGGUGUAGCGGUGAAAUGCGCAGAUAUCAGGAAGGACACCCGUGGCUAAGGCGGCUCUCUAGUACGGUACUGACGCUGAGACGCGAAAGCGUGGGGAGCAAACAGG